GACAGAGGGGGCAAGCGUUGCUCGGAAUUACUGGGCGUAAAGGGCGCGUAGGCGGGAUGGCAAGUCGGUCGUGAAAUCCCUCGGCUCAACCGAGGAACGUCGAUCGAUACUGCUGUUCUUGAGGAUUGCAGAGGAGACUGGAAUUCCCGGUGUAGCGGUGAAAUGUGUAGAGAUCGGGAGGAACACCGGUGGCGAAGGCGGGUCUCUGGGCAAUUCCUGACGCUGAGGCGCGGAAGCGUGGGGAGCAAACAGG
rnacentral:rRNA from 1 species